rnacentral:lncRNA from 1 species
CCCCAGAUCCAGACCCCACUCUUUGUGCUGUUCCUGGUGAUUUAUCUCCUGACCCUGAUAGGGAAUCUGAUGAUGCUGUUGGUAAUCAAUGCUGAUUCUUGCCUCCGUACCCCCAUGUAAUUCUUCCUUGGACAUUUUUUCUUCCUAGAUAUAUGUUACUCCUCAGUCACUGCCCAAGAUGCUGCAGAAUUUCCUGUUUCAUAAAAACCUAUCUUGGUGUGGGGUUAUAUCACCUAGAGUUUCUUUUUCAUUUUUUCUUGGGGCACCAAUGGCUGCUUGCUCUCUGCCAUCACCUAUGCCUGCUAUGCUGCCAUCUGCCACCCUCUGCUCUCUACCAUGGUCAUGAACCGACCUCUCUGCACUGCAACGGUCAAUGCAACCAACAAGAUGGGGUUUCUGAACUCACAAGUGAACAAUCUUUGUAUCCAAACUUGCAGUUCUGUGGUCCCAAUAUCAUUCUCCACUUCAGUUAUGAAACGGUCUUCACGCUUCCCUCUGUCCUGCACUGAUCCCAUGCUAACACCAUUCUUCUAUCUGGAUCUAUUGCAUUUCUCAGACUUGUGACACUUCCUCUGAACCUCUUUGCUUACUCAAAAAUUAUGUUUGCCAUUCUAGGUAUUUCUUCCUCUGGGUGGCCAAGGCAAAACCUGUUACUCCCAUCUCACCAUGGUGCUUUUGUUCUAUGGGACAGCUCUAUUCAAGCACAUCAGCCCACCUUUAGGAUCAGUCCUGGAGCAAGCGGUCUCUAUACAGUAUGCACAAUUUCAUACUUGUAUAUUGUAUAGAGGUGUGAUCACAUCCUUGCUGAACCUCCUCAUCUAUAGCUUCAAGAAACAGGAAGUGAAGGCU